rnacentral:lncRNA from 1 species
UUGUUUUUGAACUGUUAUGUUUUUAUUGAAAGUCAUGCUGAGCUUUCUAAUGUAACAAGUCAUAGAAGCCAGCCUAUAGCAUAAAGUCAAACAACUCUGAUAGCAAAAACUGUGAAAUGGUAAAUCCAACAAAGGCGGAUUUUCAAAGCUGGAUAUGCUCAGCUGCACACAGCACCAUCUCGUGUGCAUAGUAUGUGCACAAAUAUUGCAUACGUUUUGCUGGAAUAAAUCACUGGGGUGACAUAACAUCUAUCUACAGCAUAUGAAAGAGCCUUAAUGGUACCUUUUUCAGACUGUGAAUUUGAACUAAAACUACAGAGUUCUCCUUGCUUCACCUGACAGAAAGUAGAGGGAUUAGGAGCUAUAAGACUUAGUGUAUUUCUUGCUCUGUGUUGUAUGUCUUAACACAGCAGGGAGUACAGCCCCAAAAAGCUAUCCAUUCUCCUCCUAUGCAAGUGUGUACAAAUGUCAAGACUGGCAUUUUGACUCUUCUUUCUGGAGAAGUUUAAUAGGGUGAAGCAUGUCCUAGAUUAAGGUACAGGACUUGCACAGACUUGUUACUUCAGUUACCUCCACUGAUUUUUUUCCUGAUAAAGGAAAUACAUCUGAUAUAUUCAUACAUAUAUAGGAUAUUAAUAUAUCAACUUUAGUUCCAAAUAUAUUCAACUCUUCUUGUAAAAAAAUGAAAAUUCGGGAGAAGGCAAGUUAAAACAUAUCCUUCUGAUUUAUAAAAGGUUAUGCAUUGCAAUUCCAUAUUCAAUAAGAGUCAAAAAAAAUGUUGCAACCUUUUCAAAAUCUUUUAUUAAUGUUGAUUUCUUGCUUAUCAGCUCAUAUGCUUAAACUGCACUGUCUUAAAAUGUGUUUAAUAUACGUCUGGUCUGUCAUUUACAGAUGGUUUGCCCUGUUUGUAUUGAAAAUGACAUAAAAGACACAAACAGAUUCAAAGAUGGCUCACAUUUACCUUCAACUUUGCCGCCAUUAUGUUCCCAGUCUACUGGAAAGCAGAAAGAAGACACAGGUGAAUUUCCUAGGCUUCUAAACACAACAAAAAUGGCCAGUGUUUGAAGACGGUGAGUUUGACAUCUUUAAUGCAACAUACCCUAUUCUGCAAUUUAAGUAUUUGUUUCUAACUCUUCAGAAUAUACUUGAACAUAAUCGUAUUUCUCCAGACACCUUUUCCUGCAAACCUUUGAUGUAUACAGAACUUUGGGGGUCUCUUUCUUUGGAGAUAUUCAGAACCUGCCUGGGUGCUUUCCUGUGCAACCUACUCUAGGACAUCUGUGUUAGCAGGGUUGUUGGAGUAGAUGAUCUCCAGAGGUCCCU